rnacentral:rRNA from 1 species
UUUGCCCCCCUAGUACGGCGAGUGAACAGGCAAGAGCUCAGAUUUGAAAGGCACUUUUGUGCCGUUGUAUUCUGAAGUUAGGGUCCUGAGAAACGAUGCUUAAGUCUUCUGGAAAGGAGCGCCAUGGAGGGUGAUAGCCCCGUCUAGCAUUGACCUCAUAUAGGAUCUUAACAUGGAGUCGAGUUGUUUGGGAAUGCAGCUCAAAUGGGUGGUAUGCUCCAUCUAAAGCUAAAUAUCUGCGAGAGACCGAUAGUAAACAAGUACUGUGAGGGAAAGAUGAAAAGAACUUUGAAAAGAGAGUGAAAAAGUACGUGAAAUUGUUGAAAUGGAAGGGUAGGCCGCUAACCAUGUAGAGCCGUGUUUGGGGGGAAGAUAAAUGCUGUAGAAUGUAGCUCCUCGGAGUAUUAUAGAUGCAGUUCAUAUUCCCACCCGAGCGCGAGGAUCUCAGGUUCUACUAAAUGGUGGUCUACCACCCGUCUUGAAACACGGACCA